AUUGAACGCUGGCGGCAGGCCUAACACAUGCAAGUCGAACGAGUGGCGGACGGGUGAGUAAUGUCUGGGAAACUGCCUGAUGGCGGGGGAUAACUACUGGAAACGGUAGCUAAUACCGCAUACCAUCGGAUGUGCCCAGAUGGGAUUAGCUAGUAGGUGGGGUAAAGGCGCACCUAGGCGACGAUCCCUAGCUGGUCUGAGUGGAUGACCAGCCGCACUGGAAGUGACACACGGUCCAGACGCCGACGGGAGGCAUGAGUGUGGACGAUCGCGCAAUAGGCGCAAGUCUGAUCGAGCCAUGCCGCGUGUAUGAAGAAGGCCAUCGGGUUGUAAAGUACUUGCAACGGGGAGGCGUUACCCGCAGAAGAGGCACCGGCUAAGUCCGUGCCAGCCGCCGCGGUAAUAC
rnacentral:rRNA from 1 species